rnacentral:rRNA from 1 species
CGAAAGCCUGACGGAGCAACGCCGCGUGAGGGAUGAAGGCCUCUGGGCUGUAAACCUCUUUUCUCAAGGAAGAAGAUCUGACGGUACUUGAGGAAUAAGCCACGGCUAAUUCCGUGCCAGCAGCCGCGGUAAUACGGGAGUGGCAAGCGUUAUCCGGAAUCAUUGGGCGUAAAGCGUCCGCAGGCGGCCUUGAAAGUCUGUCGUUAAAGCGUGGAGCUUAACUCCAUUUCAGCGAUGGAAACUACAAGGCUUGAGUGUGGUAGGGGCAGAGGGAAUUCCCGGUGUAGUGGUGAAAUGCGUAGAUAUCGGGAAGAACACCAGUGGCGAAGGCGCUCUGCUGGGCCAUAACUGACGCUCAUGGACGAAAGCCAGGGGAGCG